rnacentral:rRNA from 1 species
UGAAACUGGGGAUCUUGAGGGCAGGAGAGGAAAGUGGAAUUCCUGGUGUAGCGGUGAAAUGCGUAGAAAUCAGGAGGAACACCGGUGGCGAAGGCGACUGUCUGGACUGCCCCUGACGCUG